CGUGCCUGCAAUGCUCUUUGUCUCCAGUUUGACACACAUAAUUAAGAGAUCGACGCCCAUAUCUUUAAUGUGGUAACCUGCUAGAGAAACAUUUGCAGACUAACUAGACUCUGUUUAGAGCUCCUGCAUUAUGGCUGGCCUCGCCACGACUAUGACUGUGGAGAGCCUGAGAGAAGGGAACUGGUUUCGCUGUUCCGACGGCUGGCCACUGGAACCACUCGAUACGCUCCAUCUCCUCUUCCCCAAUCAAGGACGAGAUACAGUCGGUGACAAUGUUUGCUUCAUCCCAAGGCAUUUAACUUUUUCGCCACUUCGUAAUCUCCUCCCAAAUCAGACCGACUUCUUUACUCCUGACGAUUUUGUCGACUGCUGCGUGGCCCUGUUUUAUAUGUGCAUCCUUGUGACUGUGGGUAUGAUUGUCGUUAAGUUUGUGUGGGAAAAAAUUGAUUCGAGAUUUGCUGACAUUACCCCAAACCACAAAAAAUGGUAUGUGGUCGCUAAUCUGUUCAAAGCAUUCUUUUUGGGAUGCAUGGCAUUUAGUUCAAAGUAUUGGAUUGGUUCAUACAAUGGUCUUGUUUUUGAUAAAUUUGCUGGGCUUGAAGUGAAGCGAACUGGAGUAUUGUACCUUGUAACAGAUUUGGUUGCGCUAUACAUGGUUCCAAAGCUCCCAACGAGUACCAUUCUCCAUCACGUUUCCACGACUGUUUUAAUCAUGACGGUGACAACACUCGACAUAACUCGUAAUGGUUGGAGUGGACUUCUUGGUGUGACGAAAAUGUCCCUUCUUUACGGCAUCUUCAGCUCUGUUUCUUUCUGUGUAAAUGCUUACCUUGCCUUCAGAGUGGUCUACCCCAAAGCAAAAUGGAUGCCUGCACUGGUGCACCUAAGUCUGUGGCCAUACAUUUUAAUGUGUGCAGCCAACUGGACGAUGCACGCUGUGUGGCUGGUGAGAUUGAUUGUGACACUGGACUUAUCGAUAUCACCUGUGCUCUACUUGCUGGCUAUAGCAGCAAUGGUUCAUGAUGACAUCGUGCUUAUCAAAUGGCUGUGGAGGAGAAACUCCCCUAUGGCAUCGACUCAAGAUUACUCUCAGAAAGGACUAAAAAAAACUGAAUAGAACUUUAAUAUGAUAUAUAUACAUGAUAUAUACAUGUAGUUAGAUUUUGGGCUUUAUGCUAAUACCUGAAGAAACUAUAUACUGAAAUCUUCCCACUGUGUAAUGUCUUUAUGGUGAUGGGACUCGGAGACCACAUGAUCUCCCAUUUUAUUAUAAUUAUCCAGCCAAACAAGA